rnacentral:rRNA from 1 species
UACGUAGGGCGCAAGCGUUAUCCGGAAUUAUUGGGCGUAAAGAGCUCGUAGGCGGUUUGUCGCGUCUGCCGUGAAAGUCCGGGGCUCAACUCCGGAUCUGCGGUGGGUACGGGGCAGACUAGAGUGAUGUAGGGGGAGACUGGAAUUCCUGGUGUAGCGGUGAAAAUGCGCAGAUAUCAGGAGGAACACCGAUGGCGAAGGCAGGUCUCUGGGCAUUAAACUGACGCUGGAGGAGCGAAAGCAUGGGGGAGCGAACAGG